rnacentral:rRNA from 1 species
GACGAACGCUGGCGGCGUGCUUAACACAUGCAAGUCGAACGAGUGGCGGACGGGUGCGUAACACAUGGGUGACAUGCCCUGCACUUCGGGAUAAGCCUGGGUAACAGGGUCUAAUAACGGAGAGUGUGGGAUGGGCCCGCGGCCUAUCAGCUUGUUGGUGGGGUAAUGGUUACCAAGGCGCGACGGGUAGCCGGCCUGAGAGGGUGGACGGCCACAUUGGGACUGAGACACGGCCCAGACUCCUACGGUAGGCAGCAGUGGGGAAUAUUGCACAAUGGGCGCAAGCCUGAUGCAGCCAUGCCGCGUGUAUGAAGAAGGCCUUAGGGUUGUAAAGUACUUUCAGCGGGGAGGCGUUACCCGCAGAAGAAGCACCGGCUAACUCCGUGCCAGCAGCCGCGGUAAUUC